GGCCAUCCCAGCACCUGCAGGAUGCCCAGCCCCAGAUGCUGCUGGCGUGCAACUCCUGUCAUGCCCAGCCAGGGGACUGCACGGUCAGGCCUCCGUGACGUGAUCCAGGAGGCAGCUGUCCAAGAGUUUGAUAAUCCCAGCAAUAUUAGCAGAUAAGUAUUUGAAAAAGUACGUAUUUUUAACAGGGAAAUCCUCCAGGGUCCAUUUUGAAGGUCAGUGUUUGGGAGAAGCCUACAGUCAGGAGGUCACUGAGGGACAGAUCAGGGGUGGAAGAGACUAGGUUCAUUUCCCCAGGGUCCACGGUCACACAGCCAGUUUGUGGCGCGGGCUAGGUCUCCAGGCCCGCACUGCGUGCUCUGGCUUAGACGGGGUUCACAGGGAAUCUAUGUCACACGGAAUUCUGAGACUCAGCCAGUCAGCCUAUGACGAAGACGUGUCUGCACAGAUUCCAGAGGCCCGAUCUGAGCACCCAAACCAGCUCCCCUGUGAAAGGACUUCAGCUCUUUGAUUCCAAGAUCUAAGGUCCUGGCCAGACUCCCUUCGCCUCUAUUUCCUGCAAGUCCACCUGGAAAACACGAGCCUUGGCCACAGCUCCGGCCUCUUCAGCGGGACAUACCAAGCAGGCUGUUGCCUCAGGAUCUUUGCUCACACUGUACUGUCUGGUCGUCUUUCCCCCGGAAUACACAGCACAGGCUCAGAGCUCCCUCACUUCCUUCAGGACUCUGCUCCAGUAUCCCCAGUCAGCAGAUAAAGUAAUGGGCAGUAAAUUCAAGACCAGUUCCACAGAUUGGAUCAACUUCCUCUUAACCUGCCUGACAAGAGUGAAGGCUCCCCCAACCCCUUGGUUUUAUAUUUGACAUGUUAAUGAGGAGGAGAUGGGACUACGUAAAUGCAAGCCACAGGUGGUUAAAAUGGUUUCAGCCACUAGCCCUAAUUAUAUAUGCCUUGAAAUCUUUUAGUGGAAAUGUCACACUAUAAACAUCGUCUUUGUUUCACAUCCUGUUCUUUUCCAUUGUUGCCUGACAGAAGAAGUACCAGUGAAUAGGGAAAUUACUUAUUUGGCUACAAAAAUGAACAUAAAAUUGGAGUCAUCUACCAGGCAGAGAACCAACAAAAUUCUAGGGAUUUUGGGGCUCCUGUUCCCAACACCCUUGCUUGUCAGAGGGGGAAACCCAGGUCAAGCAAUUCGCUGCAAAGUGCAAGUCCUGUGGCCCGUGCGGCCAAGACUGAGGCACCCUGACCUGCCCCAAGACCGUGUAUGUUCACCAGGACCCAGUAAUUAUCUUCUGACUGGUAUAGGAGGAGGGAGAGGGAGAAUUUCCACAGAAGACCUGCAUAUGACUCUUUUGAUGCUAUUCACAGUUCUGAAUUGCAAAUUACUUUUCAAAAUUAGUUAGCUCAAAAUACCCAGACACCUGGCCACAGACUGCCAACCUGAUGCUCAGAUGGGCGCCUUGCCCGGCUCGGCCUGUGACUCCCAUCACUCAGUUGCCCUGGACCCCAGCCACAGCCGCCUCCGCCAGGAGAAACAUGAGCGGCUCUGGGAACUGAUCACAGAACUGCGGCCGGACCAAAUUCUUCCAGAAUGGGGGCUCUGUGGCCCGGGACGCCUCACAGCCAGGACAUUUUUCUCCGCAAGUCAGCUCUGGGUAAUGGAAGCAAUUAGAAGAAAUUCAGAUGUGCACAGAACUUCUCUUUCUGCCUAAUAUGGAAAUAAUAAUUAACUGUCCAAACAUGUAAGCAUUUGCUCAUGGCUGAUGAUUCACCUUUAAAGUUGUGCAAAGAAAAUGUCAAACUUUUUAUAAAGUAAUUUAACAAUGUGUGUCAAGAGUCAUGAAAAUGUGUCUAUUCCUUUUGACACAGUAAUCUUAUUACUGGAAACUGAUCUUAAGAAAUUAUCCAAAAGAGAAAAGAUGUUCACUACAAAAUCUGAAUUAACUGAAAUGCCCAGUAAUAAGGAAAAGGUUAAUUGGAGCACAUCUUCCCAGGAACAUAUUACAUAGCCAUUAAAAAUGAAUGACAAGGACUGUCACAACAUGGACAAAAUGCUGAGGACAAUAUUAAAUGAAAAAGCAGAAUACAAAUUAUAUGUGCAUUAUGACUGUUCUGAUAUAUUUUGAUGUAGGAAAAACAUGAAGGCAGGAUUAUGGGUGAUUUUUUUCCCCUAGUUUUUCCUUAACUUUUGUAAUGUUGACUUACUGUUUCAGUAAUUUUCAAAAGGAAAACAGGUUAUGUACAAUGCUUCAUACACUACGCUAUACACAUUUAUCAGAACAUAAAUAAUUUAUAAAAAAUAAACAGUUCAUCUCAAA